GAAAAGGGCAAGGAAGAAGUGCUCCAGGAGACGAGAUACAAGAAAGGAUUUGCUCAUCGAUUUUCUUAAAUGAAAAAGUUUUAAAGGAUGAGGAGUCGUUAUAUGAAGAGGAUAUUUCUACUGGCACAAUCCAACCAGUAAUACACUGAUUUACAAUUGCUUACCUUUUCAUAGCAUAUCACUAAAGAAAGCUGUGUCCCACCUCUCUGAUUUUCCAAAUCCCGCUGCAUUACGAUCCAGUUAGACAGCUAUCAUUUUAAACCGUUUGGAUUUCGAUUAUGAGAUGAAACUGUAGUGGAAGCCACGUGUAAAUCCGCUCGCUUGGAGCUCUGAGACUCUUUUACCAGUGCCUUUGUGACAGCAAGAGAAGGAGCGGGGGGAAUAAAAGCAAAAGAUUCCCCAUCCCCCUUUUGCUGAUUUCAGCCUGUUCCUUCUCUGACUGCUGCCGCUAAAACCUAGAGGCUAUAUGGUCAAAACCUGAUACUCACAGACAGGAUUGACGUUCAGAGUCCUCAAUCCCACUUCAAUCAGUUGGUCUCCAGUUUGAAACAAAGCACUACUUGGGACGUGGGAGGGAUGCAAACCACAGUGGAGUCUCUUUACAGUGAAUGAAGUGCAAUUCAGUGCAGCACAUGGAGACUUCUCAAGGGUCUUAAAUCUGGCUAUAAAACAUAACCUUUAAAGUCCUGGGAAGGAGCUAAACUAUAACCUGAAUUCAUUUGGGGGGGAUGCAAGACCAUCUCCUCUUGUCUUGAUCUAACUAGUGUGCAAAUGUUUCCUAACAGUACUUUUACUGUAUCUGUGCCCCAUGAAUAGAUCCACAGGGUUGCUGUCCUUUCCCUUUCAACAAUAAUUCUACUGUACUGCAUUGAAUCUUUAGCUCCAUUCACUUUUUAUAUCAAAUUAUUGUUUGGGAAAUUAAAAAAUAACUGGAGCAGAAUAAGAUGAAAAAUAUCAAAGAUUAAACAACCUAGAUCUGUAAUUAAAAAAACAACAACAAAAAACAAUAACAAAAUUGCAUAUUUUCUUGAGGUCUUCAAUUGUAUGGUAUGGACCUUAAUGUCUUCAAGAAUAAUUUCCAUCUUCCAGAUCUCAACUGACCCAUGUUACAACAGCCGCCUCAAGUAAUACAUUUCAGAACCAGAUAAGUGAAAUGAUGGAUUUACUAGCUGGCCAUAAGAAGCAUGGCAUUAAAAUAAUUACUUGUUUAUGACAACUGUUUUUCUGCCUUUUACUUUUAUAUAAUAAAAGGACUGCUAGAAAUUG